UCUUUAAAAUCAGGCUGGACUAAAGUUAGAUUUCGACUCAACCAAAAGACCAUACACUCUGCCCUGACUUCACCGGCGAAGGAUCCCGAGUUGUCGACCUUGGUCAAGGAAGUUCAGCGACAGGUCAUUCUCUAUGGCGAAGACUACUUGCGCGCGCAGCCGGGAUAUAAAAGUCGGAAGACGGAAAUCGAGGAACUCAUAGCGUACUCAAAAAAGCAAGGUGGACAAAGCCAGCCUGAAAACGGAAGUGACAUCAUUGCCGAGCGGAAGUUCAAUCGACUUGUGCGCAAGAUCUAUAAUUAUGGGACGAAACUGUUGGUGUACGAG